GACGAACGCUGGCGGCGUGCCUAACACAUGCAAGUCGAACGAAAAGGCGCCAACUUUCUUUCGCACUCGUUUGCGGAAGGGGUGAGAAACACAUGGGGAAUACCCCCUUCACACUCGGAUAAGCCUGGGGAACUGGGGCGCUUACUGGAUAUGAUCUUUCUAACCGUGUGGUUCGAAGGAGAGUGUUGCUGUUUCGGAUGGGCCUACGGCUUACCUGCUUGUUGGUGGAAUGAUGUCCGACCAAGGCGUAGCCUGGUAGCCCGCCUGAGAGGGUGAACGGCCACAAUGGGCCUAAGAUACGGCCCAGUCUGCUACGGGAGGCAACAGGGGGGAAUAUUGCGCAAUGGGCGGAAGCGUGAGACAGCGACGCUGGGUGCGGGAUGACGGGCUUCGGGUUAUAAACAUAUUUCAGCAGGAACGAAGCGUAAGUGACGGUACCUGCAGAAGAAGCACCGGCUAACUACGUG
rnacentral:rRNA from 1 species